GGUAAGUUCCGACCCGCACGAAAGGCGUAACGAUUUGGGCACUGUCUCAACGAGAGACUCGGUGAAAUCAUAGUACCUGUGAAGAUGCAGGUUACCCGCGACAGGACGGAAAGACCCCGUGGAGCUUUACUGUAGCCUGAUAUUGAAAUUCGGCACAGCUUGUACAGGAUAGGUAGGAGCCUUUGAAACGUGAGCGCUAGCUUACGUGGAGGCGCUGGUGGGAUACUACCCUAGCUGUGUUGGCUUUCUAACCCGCACCACUUAUCGUGGUGGGAGACAGUGUCAGGCGGGCAGUUUGACUGGGGCGGUCGCCUCCUAAAAGGUAACGGAGGCGCUCAAAGGUUCCCUCAGAAUGGUUGGAAAUCAUUCAUAGAGUGUAAAGGCAUAAGGGAGCUUGACUGCGAGACCUACAAGUCGAGCAGGGUCGAAAGACGGACUUAGUGAUCCGGUGGUUCCGCAUGGAAGGGCCAUCGCUCAACGGAUAAAAGCUACCCCGGGGAUAACAGGCUUAUCUCCCCCAAGAGUUCACAUCGACGGGGAGGUUUGGCACCUCGAUGUCGGCUCAUCGCAUCCUGGGGCUGUAGUCGGUCCCAAGGGUUGGGCUGUUCGCCCAUUAAAGCGGUACGCGAGCUGGGUUCAGAACGUCGUGAGACAGUUCGGUCCCUAUCCGUCGUGGGCGUAGGAAAUUUGAGAGGAGCUGUCCUUAGUACGAGAGGACCGGGAUGGACAUACCUCUGGUGUACCAGUUGUCGUGCCAACGGCAUAGCUGGGUAGCUAUGUGUGGACGGGAUAAGUGCUGAAAGCAUCUAAGCAUGAAGCCCCCCUCAAGAUGAGAUUUCCCAACUUCGGUUAUAAGAUCCCUCAAAGAUGAUGAGGUUAAUAGGUUCGAGGUGGAAGCAUGGUGACAUGUGGAGCUGACGAAUACUAAUCGAUCGAAGACUUAAUCAA
rnacentral:rRNA from 1 species